CUCCAGCGCUGUGACCUUAACGGUAGGAAAGGAUCAGCACCAACAAUCACUGCAAAUCCCAACAAACAUGCACUCUCAUUCCGGAAAAACCAUGUUGGACGAAGUCAGCUCAGGUGAUUUAUGGGACAGGAAAAACCGCUGACCUGUAGGAAGGUGGACAAUAAGCUGCCGAGUGAGACCUGCUGUGGACAAUUCACCAAAAGCUGUCUCAUCCUGCUCUCAGCGCUGCGUCAUCUACAGCCAGAAGUGGGUUGACAAACAAGAAAGAUGAACGGAGCAACAUCAAGAUGGAGACCUGCAAGAUGCUGCAGACACUGAAACUGUGAUGGAGGUUGAUCGGAUAAGCCAAAGCACAGAGGCUGCCAUGAUAGGUGGCGUCUAAAUAUUGCUAGCAGUAAGGAAGCAGGAGGCUGUGGCUCCAGUCUUAAAGCUCUACUCCAUGUGCCUUUCUAACGCCUAAUGAUGUCUGGAUUCAGUAAUGCUGUCUGAAGUUCCCUUCCUACCCAUUAAA